rnacentral:rRNA from 1 species
GAUGAACGCUAGCUACAGGCUUAACACAUGCAAGUCGAGGGACCGGCGCACGGGUGAGUAACACGUAUCCAACCUGCCCUUUACUCGGGGAUAGCCUUUCGAAAGACAGAUUAAUACCCGAUAUAAAGGAUGGGGAUGCGUUCCAUUAGGUUGUUGGUGAGGUAACGGCCCACCAAGCCUUCGAUGGUUAGGGGUUCUGAGAGGAAGGGCCCCUACAGUGGAGCUGAGAACCGGUCCAAACCCCUACGGACGGCAGAAGGGAGGAAUAUUGGUAAAUGUGCGUUAGCCUGACCCAGCCAAGUAGCGGAAAGGAUGAAGGUUUUUGGGUCUUAAACUUCUUUUAUAUAAGAAUAUGUAUUAUAUGAAUAAGGAUCGGCUAACUCCGUGCCAGCAGCGGCGGAAAUUC